rnacentral:lncRNA from 1 species
CCAUAGCUGAGGAUCGUGUGUUUUUCUAGAUCUGCAUGGUAAACAUGGAAAAUAUAUUCCAUAUUCCAUCCAUGGACGAGGUGUAUAUUUUUUAAAAGAACAAUAGUUCAAUAAAAUAAAAGAAGUAAUUUAUUAUUCAAUUUAAUAAUAAUAAAAAUUAUAAUUCAAAGGUUUAAAUACAUAAAUUAUUGAUAUUUCAAGUCCUGG